UACGUAGGGUGCAAGCGUUUGUCCGGAAUUAUUGGGCGUAAAGAGCUCGUAGGCGGCUCGUCGCGUCGGCUGUGAAAACCUGGGGCUCAACCCCGGGCCUGCAGCCGAUACGGGCGAGCUAGAAUUCGGUAGGGGAGACUGGAAUUCCUGGUGUAGCGGUGGAAAUGCGCAGAUAUCAGGAGGAACACCGGUGGCGAAGGCGGGUCUCUGGGCCGAUAUUGACGCUGAGGAGCGAAAGCGUGGGGAGCGAACAGG
rnacentral:rRNA from 1 species